GUUUGAAUUUGCUUUAAUUGUUGGUUUUUCUUCUAUACAUCUCACAUCUCUCAGGAUUUUCUACUGUAGAUUGAAAGUGUAUCUGGAACGACGGUUAUGCGCUGGGUUAACUCACAGUCAGGAAGCAUUUUAGGAUGGGUUGAAUGGGCCAUUCAACAGGAGCUGAAGCCAAAUAUGGAUAAAGAAAAGGAUCCAAUGGCUGGAAUUAUGGAUUUGAUGAAGGUGAGUAAGGUAUCCAUUCUUUUCUUGGGAAAUGUCCAAUGCCUCGGCAAUAAAUGUCCUCCAAUCCAAUAGACAAAUAAUUAAAUAAGUUAAGUGCUUGAUUAUCAUUGAUGACAUUUAAAGAGUUCUAAUCUAUUUAUUUUUUUUCAAAUUAUUGUCCUUUGAAAUUAAAAUUUAAUUCUAGAGCUAAUUUUCACUUUUGACAAUUUGGAAUUUGGCCAAAGUUUAAUUUCUAAUUUUAAGUCAUUUACAAUUCUUUCUAAAAAGCUACUUUUCAUAUUCUUAGAGAUUAUUUAAAUUUAAAGGUGUUAAACACAACUUGAGAGACUGAAAUUCUCAAGAAUCCAAUUACUAUAGAUGUAGAUUCUUCAAAAUUCAAGUGUCAAAACCACCUAUAAAUUCCUUUGAAGAGAUUUCUAACCUCACUUCCAUCUUUUUCUACCUUUUUAGGCUUGUUUCUUAAAGGUGCCGUAGUAGAAGAAGAAGAAGAAGAAGAAGAAGCAGGUAUGUAUGUGUACGGACCCAGUACUGAUUCGACAAAUACCCCCAUCAGUUGUGCUUUUAGUCAUAUAAUAAUUCUAAUAGAAAGAAGAAAUUAUGGCAAAACUGGUGGUGGAACCGGUGUAGGAUUAUAGAGACCUUUCCAUAGUACACAUGACAGGGGUGAUGUUGCAAUUCAGUUUGUUCAUUUAAUUGCCCCUGUUGUUGAUGAAACAUGAUUAAAAAUAUAUAAAUUGGAUGAUCCUAGCCAUCUGGUUGGCAGAUUCCAAACCAACAGUCAGAAGAAAUUUAGGCUAAGUUUUCAUAACCAAAAAAUAAAUAAAUGAAGGGAUUAGGAUUUAAGAUGGGUCCUACUAGAUGGACGGUCUCAAUUUCACUUUUGACCAUAACCCAUGUGCAAUAGAGGGAUGACUCUACCUUAUCAACUUUCUUGUUUUGUAACCAUUUCCUGUUGUAGUGGUAUGCCCACAAGGACCUCCCUUGUUACAGAUGAUUAAUCCAUCUGAUGCUUCUACGCAUACAUGAUCAUAACAAAAACAGGUGCGGCAACUCAUCAAGUGGACCACACAUUUAUAAAAAGUAGGUAUGUACGUCUGUGGCAUCAACCCCUACGAUUUCACCCAUCUAGGUCAUGCUCGCUCUCAUAACUUUCGAUGUCCUGUAUAGGUACAUUUGCUUGUUUUCAUUCUAUUUGCUAUUUAAAUUAGGCACUUGCUAAUAUCUUACCCAACAACACUUGCCAUCUUUGUACAUUAUGCUUCAUUGGCAACUUAAGAUCAAAAAAAAAAAAAAAAUCAUUAUGGAGUGGGUUCAACCCUUUCUUUCUUAAAACUUUCUUUUCCAUUUGUUCCUGUAAUUCGACCUUUUCUUUCUUAAAACUUCAUGUCCAUUUAAUUCAUAUACUUCUCUUCAUUCUAUUGUCAUGAAUUAUACUAGAUUGUGAGAUGGGAGAGUCACUCGUUGAAAUACAGGGUACUAUGGCCAAUUAUGAAAUCAGGGAUAUUUCUCAGCCUUUGCAAGUGGGUUCUGUCGGGUAGGUGCAUGCUUUAUAUUCUGUUUAACUUCCUUUUUUUCUUUUUUCUUUUUUCCUGUUUAGGUUGUAGGUAGGAAGGAGCAUGGGCAACCCAAUGUUUCCACGAAUCAUCCACAUGAUGUGGGACUUGAACGUUUUCCUCCCAUACCCUCCGGAAGGCUAUAAUUUUUUAUUGCAUUUUGUGAAGAAGAUUGAUUUUCUAGUAAACUGUGUCAGUUACCUAUUGAAAUCGUUAAUAGCAUUUUCGUUAUGUAUGUCAUAUACAAUUGAGAGGGUCAAAAUAAGGUAUACUUAAUGUAUAAGUGGCUAUAGGAUGAAGGAAUGGCAAAAUCAGUGUUGGCUCUGAGUAGAAUCCUUGCCUAUUCAGAUAAGACAUUUAUAUUGCAUUUUGUGAAUUGUCAUCGAAGGGCCCUGAGGUUUGAGAAAAUUUCAAGAAUGAAUGAUCUUUGGGCUAAGCAUUGUCUUUUGCUUGAACGAGGAAAAAAAGGCCGUCCCUUUCAUGAGAAAAGAAAAUGUAGGAAAGCCCACAAAAGAAAGAAAAAAAAAAAAAAACUAUAUUCAAUACCAUUAAAAGCCAUGACCAAUGAAAUGUGAUUCUUGAAUCUUGAUAUUUUGAGUUAAAAAAAAAAUAAAGCUUUUCCAAUUAUUAGCUUCCUUUUUUGGUUGAUCACAUUUUGAUGCAACUUGGUUAUCAAGGCAAUGGUUAAUCACAUUUUGAUGCAACUUGGUUAUCAAGGCAAUGGUUAAUCACAUUUUGAUGCAGUUUGGUUAUCUGAAGCAUAAAUGUGAGCAUGCAUGGAAUCAAUUUCAAAAUUCUCAAUAUCUUUUGUUUUUUUUUUUUUUUUUUUUUUCAUAUUGGCCAUCUCUAGACUAUUUUUUUAUAUGUAUAGUAACUCAGUUACUGAAAAAUGUAGAUCUUUAGCAUUGAUUAGAGAAGUGCUUAUAUUUUUUAACGAAACCAGAUGGUUACUGGUCUUGUACUUUUAAUCUCUGUCUUGUUAUUGAUUACAUUUUCUUUGUUAUGUUUUGCUUUGUUUUACCAUUGAAAGUAACUGAAUAUUUCUUGUACCCUGGUCUUUAGACCUACACAGAGUAUUGGAAUGCUAUCCAGCACAUUUUUUAGGAGUACUCGGAAGGAAGAUAUUGUAGUUCCUGUGAUGGAGAGAUGUGGAGGAAGCAAAGAAAGACUGCAAGCUUGGAGUUCGCAUCAAAGAACUUGAGAGAUUCCAGUACUCUGGUAUUUAGAGACUAUGCCCUCAAGCUAUCAACUAUCUUAUGCCAAGCUUUUAUACAAAACCAACAAGUAGGCGUGCAGGUCUUUCUCAUCUACCCAAAAAACACUCUUCUAAUGCAUGCAUAUCUGUAUUGAUGCAUGUGGAUGUGCGUGUCUUUCUAAAGAGUAAUGAUCACAUGAAUCUCAUCACAUUCAACUCA